AUUGAACGCUGGCGGCAUGCUUUACACAUGCAAGUCGAACGGUAACAGGGAGCUUGCUCCGCUGACGAGUGGCGAACGGGUGAGUAAUGCGUCGGAACGUGCCGAGUAGUGGGGGAUAACGCAGCGAAAGUUGUGCUAAUACCGCAUACGUACUGAGGUAGAAAGUGGGGGACCUUCGGGCCUCACGCUAUUCGAGCGGCCGACGUCUGAUUAGCUAGUAGGUGAGGUAAAGGCUCACCUAGGCGACGAUCAGUAGCGGGUCUGAGAGGAUGAUCCGCCACACUGGGACUGAGACACGGCCCAGACUCCUACGGGAGGCAGCAGUGGGGAAUUUUGGACAAUGGGCGAAAGCCUGAUCCAGCCAUGCCGCGUGUCUGAAGAAGGCCUUCGGGUUGUAAAGGACUUUUGUCGGGGAGGAAAUCCCCAGCGCUAAUACCGCUGGGGGAUGACAGUACCUGAAGAAUAAGCACCGGCUAACUACGUGCCAGCAGCCGCCGCAGUAA
rnacentral:rRNA from 1 species